UACGUAGGGGGCAAGCGUUGUCCGGAAUCAUUGGGCGUAAAGAGUGUGUAGGCGGUGCUCCAAGUCUGGUGUGAAAUCUCCCGGCUUAACUGGGAGGGUGCAUUAGAAACUGGAAUGCUAGAGGAUGGGAGAGGUAAGCGGAAUUCCUGGUGUAGCGGUGAAAUGCGUAGAUAUCAGGAGGAACACCUGUGGCGAAAGCGGCGCACUGGACCACAACUGACGCUGGAGGCGCGAAAGCUAGGGGAGCAAACAGG
rnacentral:rRNA from 1 species